GAAAAUGACACAGCUAACACUUAUUUCAGUUAACUUAUUUCAGAAAGUCGUGGAAGGCUUGUUUUUAGAUUUGUUAUUGGUUUUUGAUGUUGAUGUUGUUGCUGCAGGCCCAGGAUCAUGAACUAGAAGGUGAACAGUGCUGUGAAUCAAAUUGGUUAGGGUGCCCAUUUGGUUGUAGAUUCAAUGUAAGAUGAUAAGGUGCUAGAAGUUGUAGAUCCUAGCUGAUGAUGGGAAUCCCCUUGUAAGUUUUAAGUAUUCUUUACAAUUAUGUAAUUUAUAUGUGCAGUGCUUUUCUACUAACUAGAUGUGCACAUGUAUGGAUCUUGUUCAUGCUUGGUGUUCAAAAUUCAUGGACAACACAACUGAUGACAUGCCCAUUGGUAAGCAUUUGUUUUUUAUGAAAAUCAGUUUUUUAA